rnacentral:ncRNA from 1 species
GUCAGCGUACACAGAAAUGUGUACGUAGAGGCGGAUUUAAAAACCGUCCAAUAUCACUUGAAUUGCUGGAAACCCCUAAAGCUAACUAAACUACAACGCAGUACCUUAAAUGGUACAAACGUGAAAGUGGCGAAAGCAGAAAAAAUUAGUUAGAUGGUGCAAGGUUAAAUCCUAAACACUAUGUUUAUUUACCUCCUCAUAGAGGAGGAUAGCAUAUUAAAUGGGCAAUCAGCAGGUAAGGCCGAAAGGUAAACUUCAACGACUAUUCCUCUUGAGGGAAGUACACUGUAAGCUAUUGACAGUGGAAGUGGGUGACGCUUAACACGUAUAUAUAAACUCUUCUAAAGAGGAGCAAAUAUAUUGGGUGAAGAUGAAGAUAUAGUCUGUGCUUUAUAGAAAUAUAAAG